GACGGAGGAUGCAAGUGUUAUCCGGAAUCACUGGGCGUAAAGCGUCUGUAGGUGGUUCGAAAAGUCCACUGUUAAAAAUUGAAGCUUAACUUCAAAGAUGCCGUGGAAACUUUCAAACUAGAGUGUGGUAGGGGUAGAGGGAAUUUCCAGUGGAGCGGUGAAAUGCGCAGAUAUCAGGAAGAACACCGGUGGCGAAGGCGGCUCUCUGGGCCUUACCUGACGCUGAGGAGCGAAAGCGUGGGGAGCGAACAGG
rnacentral:rRNA from 1 species